rnacentral:rRNA from 1 species
AUUGAACGCUGGCGGCAGGCCUAACACAUGCAAGUCGAAUGGUAACAGGAAACAGCUUGCUGUUUCGCUGACGAGUGGCGGACGGGUGAGUAAUGUCUGGGAAACUGCCUGAUGGAGGGGGAUAACUACUGGAAACGGUAGCUAAUACCGCAUAACGUCGCAAGACCAAAGAGGGGGACCUUCGGGCCUCUUGCCAUCAGAUGUGCCCAGAUGGGAUUAGCUAGUAUGUGGGGUAACGGCUCACCUAGGCGACGAUCCCUAGCUGGUCUGAGAGGAUGACCAGCCACACUGGAACUGAGACACGGUCCAGACUCCUACGGGAGGCAGCAGUGGGGAAUAUUGCACAAUGGGCGCAAGCCUGAUGCAGCCAUGCCGCGUGUAUGAAGAAGGCCUUCGGGUUGUAAAGUACUUUCAGCGGGGAGGAAGGGAGUAAAGUUAAUACCUUUGCUCAUUGACGUUACCCGCAGAAGAAGCACCGGCUAACUCCGUG